rnacentral:SRP_RNA from 1 species
GCCGGACGCGGUGGCGCGCGCCUGUAGUCCCAGCUACUCGGGAGGCUGAGGUGGGAGGAUCGCUUGAGUCCAGGAGUUCUGGGCUGCAGUGCGCUAUGCCGAUCGGGUGUCCGCACUAAGUUCGGCAUCAAUAUGGUGACCUCCCGGGAGCGGGGGACCACCAGGUUGCCUAAGGAGGGGUGAACCGGCCCAGGUCGGAAACGGAGCAGGUCAAAACUCCCGUGCUGAUCAGUAGUGGGAUCGCGCCUGUGAAUAGCCACUGCACUCCAGCCUGGGCAAUAUAGUGAGACCCUGUCUCUA